rnacentral:snoRNA from 1 species
AGUACUUGUGUGUGUUUGUUUAACUUGUUGGACAAAGAUUUAUCUACUGAUGCAAACAAGUAAGCCCUUUUUUGCAACCAAAACUCAUUGUUCAGUAAGAGUUUGUGAUACAUGUAUGAAAAAAUAUU